CACAAAAAAUCAAGUGAGGACCAACCAAAAAACAACUGAAAAGCCUGGGAUCCAUAGGUGUCCCAGGAGUAAAGACAUGAAAAGGAAGAAUUAAGGAAGAGGGAGUUGGCAAGGCCAGGUCAUUGAAUAGCUGUCGUGAGAUGGAUAUUUCUAGACAUUUUUUGGAGAGAGUACUUAGGAAGAGUAACACUCGGAUUAUAAAAACAAAGGGAAGGAAAAGAAGAAAAGAUCACCAUUAAAGGCAGAGAAGAGAAGAAA